CCGAGUUUACAACUCCCAAACCCCUGUGAACAUACCUAUCUGUUGCUUCGGCGGAUCAGCCGCUCAGGUUGACCAACGGGACCAGGCCCCGCCAGAGGACCCUAAACUCUUGUUUCUAUUAUGUAAUCUUCUGAGUAAACAUCAAAUAAAUUA
rnacentral:misc_RNA from 1 species